CUUGCAGAUGUAAACCUGUAUAUCAGUGCCUCCAACAGCAAGGUAAGUACCACUCUGAUCAAACACCAGAGACCGAACCUGAUAGCAUUCUUCCGUUGA